rnacentral:rRNA from 1 species
AUUGAACGCUGGCGGCAGGCUUAACACAUGCAAGUCGAGCGGGGUGAUGGUGCUUGCACUAUCACUUAGCGGCGGACGGGUGAGUAAUGCUUAGGAAUCUGCCUAUUAGUGGGGGACAACACCUCGAAAGGGAUGCUAAUACCGCAUACGUCCUACGGGAGAAAGCAGGGGAUCACUUGUGACCUUGCGCUAAUAGAUGAGCCUAAGUCGGAUUAGCUAGUUGGUGGGGUAAAGGCCUACCAAGGCGACGAUCUGUAGCGGGUCUGAGAGGAUGGUCGGCCACACUGGGACCGAGACACGGCCCAGACACCUACGGGAGGCAGCAGUGGGGAAUAUUGGACAAUGGGGGGAACCCUGAUCCAGCCAUGCCGCGUGUGUGAAGAAGGCCUUAUGGUUGUAAAGCACUUUAAGCGAGGAGGAGGCUCUUUUGGUUAAUACCCAAGAUGAGUGGACGUUACUCGCAGAAUAAGCACCGGCUAACUCUGUGCCAGCAGCCGCAGUAA